rnacentral:rRNA from 1 species
CGAGCGCACCCCUAUCCUUAUUUGCCAGCGCAUAAUGGCGGGAACUAUAAGGAGACUGCCGGUCAUAAACCGGAGGAAGGCGGGGACGACGCUCAAGUCAUCAUGGCCCUUAUGAGUAGGGCUACACACGUGAUACAAUGGGUGGUACAGAGGGUCGCCAAAGCGCGAGCUGGAGCCAAACCCUUAAAACCAUUCUUAGUCCGGAUUGGAGUCUGCAACUCGACUCCAUAAAGUCGGAAUCGCUAGUAAUCGCGAAUCAGAAUGUCGCGGUGAAUACGUUCUCGGGCCUUGUACACACCGCCCGUCACGUCAUGGAAGUGGGUUGCACCAGAAGUGGCUUGUUUAACCUUCGGGAAAACGGUCACCACGGUGUGAUUCACAACUGGGACGAAGUCGUAACAAGGUAGCCCUAGGGGAACCUGGGGCUGGAUCACCUCCUU